rnacentral:rRNA from 1 species
GAGUUUGAUCUUGGCUCAGGACGAACGCUGGCGGCGUGCCUAACACAUGCAAGUCGAGCGAAUGAAGUUCCUUCGGGAACGGAUUUAGCGGCGGACGGGUGAGUAACACGUGGGCAACCUGCCUCAUAGAGGGGAAUAGCCUUCCGAAAGGGAGAUUAAUACCGCAUAAGAUUGUAGUACCGCAUGGUACAGCAAUUAAAGGAGCAAUCCGCUAUGAGAUGGGCCCGCGGCGCAUUAGCUAGUUGGUGAGGUAACGGCUCACCAAGGCGACGAUGCGUAGCCGACCUGAGAGGGUGAUCGGCCACAUUGGGACUGAGACACGGCCCAGACUCCUACGGGAGGCAGCAGU